UAGUCCACGCCGUAAACGAUGAUUACUCGCUGUAGGCGAUACACAGUCUGUGGCUAAGCGAAAGUUUUAAGUAAUCCACCUGGGGAGUACGAUCGCAAGAUUGAAACUCAAAGGAAUUGACGGGGGCCCGCACAAGCGGAGGAACAUGUGGUUUAAUUCGAUGAUACGCGAGGAACCUUACCUGGACUUAAAUGUAGAUUGCAUGAAUUAGAGAUGGUUCUUUCUUCGGACUAUUUACAAGGUGCUGCAUGGUUGUCGUCAGCUCGUGUCGUGAGAUGUUGGGUUAAGUCCCGCAACGAGCGCAACCCUCACCUUUAGUUGCCAUCAUUUAGUUGGGCACUCUAAAGGAACUGCCGGUGAUAAGCCGGAGGAAGGCGGGGAUGACGUCAAGUCCUCAUGGCCCUUAUGGGCUGGGCUACACACGUGCUACAAUGGCGAUGACAGUGAGUUUAUCUCCAAAAGUCGUCUCAGUUCGGAUUGUUCUCUGCAACUCGAGAGC
rnacentral:rRNA from 1 species